UCGGGGGCGUUUAAUAACCGUUUAUUUUAGGAUAUCCUACCCAUUUUUCCUCUACAUCCUAAAAAAAAUAUUAAUAUAUUUAAAAAGAUCAUGUGCUAUCAUUGGUUGGUGCAUACUGUACGCUUCCUCCCCAUUAGGAGGAUCUCUGGUAGAAAUUUUGGAAUUCACUUUAGAAUCAUCAAUUCUAUAUUUUCGGGGAAGUUUCAAGUUCUUAAGUAAAUCAGACAACCAAAAUUGAAGACAUUUUUGAGUUCAAUCUUAAGAAAUUAACUCUUUUACAUUGGGUGCUAGGUUCAGGAUGUGAAAUCCCAAAAAAUUUAAAAAAAUCCCAAUCCUAAAAACCAUUUCUACAUAGGAUUUUACCGAGGGAGUGAAUGGAUGAUAUACUCCCACAUGACCGAGGGAGUAAAAGUCUUCCUCCAUUAAUAAAAAGGUGUGGUUUGUAUAAGGCUGAGAUUGUAAACAAUCAAAGUAAGGCGCACCUUCAAAUAUGUUUCAAUAUCAUAAUUUUUUUAGAGCAGAUUUAUGAACACUUAAAAAUCUUAAAAAUUGACAGUCUAGAUAAUGUAUUAACAAGAUAAAUUAUUUUUAAGAUUUCAAACCUUUGUUUUCUAAUAUCUAUAAAUAUUGUGGUCAAGAUGAUUGAAUUUGAGGGCUUUUCAACAUUGAAACAAACUCUUUUUUUGAAGCACGAUGAUAUUUGAGAAUUGAACCCAAAAGGAGAAGAA
rnacentral:lncRNA from 1 species